rnacentral:rRNA from 1 species
UACGUAGGGUGCUAGCGUUGUUCGGAAUCAUUGGGCGUAAAGCGCGUGUAGGUGGCGACAUAAGUCGAAUGUGAAAUCCCUGGGCUCAACCGAGGAAGUGCAUUCGAUACUGUGUUGCUCGAGGACGGUAGAGGAAGGUGGAAUUCCUAAAGUAGAGGUGAAAUUCGUAGAUAUUAGGAGGAAUACCGGCGGCGAAGGCGGCCUUCUGGGCCGUUCCUGACACUGAGACGCGAAAGCGUGGGUAGCAAACAGG